UGGGGAAUAUUGCACAAUGGGCGCAAGCCUGAUGCAGCCAUGCCGCGUGUAUGAAGAAGGCCUUCGGGUUGUAAAGUACUUUCAGCGGGGAGGAAGGGAGUAAAGUUAAUACCUUUACUCAUUGACGUUACCCGCAGAAGAAGCACCGGCUAACUCCGUGCCAGCAGCCGCGGUAAUACGGAGGGUGCAAGCAUUAAUCGGAAUUACUGGGCGUAAAGCGCACGCAGGCGGUUUGUUAAGUCAGAUGUGAAAUCCCCGGGCUUAACCCGGGAAUUGCAUCUGAUACUGGUCAGCUAGAGUCUUGUAGAGGGGGGUAGAAUUCCAUGUGUAGCGGUGAAAUGCGUAGAGAUGUGGAGGAAUACCGGUGGCGAAGGCGGCCCCCUGGACAAAGACUGACGCUCAGGUGCGAAAGCGUGGGGAGCAAACAGG
rnacentral:rRNA from 1 species